rnacentral:rRNA from 1 species
GGGUUGUGAGGUUAAGCGACCAAGCGUACACGGUGGAUGCCCUGGCAGUCAGAGGCGAUGAAGGACGUGCUAAUCUGCGAAAAGCGCCGGUAAGGUGAUAUGAACCGUUAUAACCGGCGAUGUCCGAAUGGGGAAACCCAGUGUGACUCGUCACACUAUCAUUAACUGAAUCCAUAGGUUAAUGAGGCGAACCGGGGGAACUGAAACAUCUAAGUACCCCGAGGAAAAGAAAUCAACCGAGAUUCCCCCAGUAGCGGCGAGCGAACGGGGAGCAGCCCAGAGCCUGAAUCAGCAUAUGUGUUAGUGGAAGCGUCUGGAAAGGCGCGCGAUACAGGGUGACAGCCCCGUACACAAAAGCGCAUAUGCUGUGAGCUCGAUGAGUAGGGCGGGACACGUGGUAUCCUGUCUGAAUAUGGGGGGACCAUCCUCCAAGGCUAAAUACUCCUGACUGACCGAUAGUGAACCAGUACCGUGAGGGAAAGGCGAAAAGAACCCCGGCGAGGGGAGUGAAACAGAACCUGAAACCGUGUACGUACAAGCAGUGGGAGCCCCACCACCAAAGCGUUUCGCUUUGCGUGGUGCGCAAAAUGCGUAACGACAGCACGAUUGCGGUUAACGGAGCGUAAGCGACGUUCAACACAAGAAUCAGGCAGUGGAGCGUUUUGGGGUGGGGUGACUGCGUACCUUUUGUAUAAUGGGUCAGCGACUUAUAUUCUGUAGCAAGGUUAACCGUAUAGGGGAGCCGGAGGGAAACCGAGUCUUAACCGGGCGUUAAGUUGCAGGGUAUAGACCCGAAACCCGGUGAUCUAGCCAUGGGCAGGUUGAAGGUUGGGUAACACUAACUGGAGGACCGAACCGACUAAUGUUGAAAAAUUAGCGGAUGACCUGUGGCUGGGGGUGAAAGGCCAAUCAAACCGGGAGAUAGCUGGUUCUCCCCGAAAGCUAUUUAGGUAGCGCCUCGUGAAUUCAUCUCCGGGGGUAGAGCACUGUUUCGGCCAGGGGGCCAUCCCGGCUUACCAACCCGAUGCAAACUGCGAAUACCGGAGAAUGUUAUCACGGGAGACACACGGCGGGUGCUAACGUCCGUCGUGAAGAGGGAAACAACCCAGACCGCCAGCUAAGGUCCCAAAGUCAUGGUUAAGUGGGAAACGAUGUGGGAAGGCCCAGACAGCCAGGAUGUUGGCUUAGAAGCAGCCAUCAUUUAAAGAAAGCGUAAUAGCUCACUGGUCGAGUCGGCCUGCGCGGAAGAUGUAACGGGGCUAAACCAUGCACCGAAGCUGCGGCAGCGACACUGUGUGUUGUUGGGUAGGGGAGCGUUCUGUAAGCCUGCGAAGGUGUGCUGUGAGGCAUGCUGGAGGUAUCAGAAGUGCGAAUGCUGACAUAAGUAACGAUAAUGCGGGUGAAAAACCCGCACGCCGGAAGACCAAGGGUUCCUGUCCAACGUUAAUCGGGGCAGGGUGAGUCGACCCCUAAGGCGAGGCCGAAAGGCGUAGUCGAUGGGAAACAGGUUAAUAUUCCUGUACCUGGUGUUACUGCGAAGGGGGGACGGAGAAGGCUAUGUUGGCCGGGCGACGGUUGUCCCGGUUUAAGCGUGUAGGCUGGUUUUCCAGGCAAAUCCGGAAAAUCAAGGCUGAGGCGUGACGACGAGGCACUACGGUGCUGAAGCAACAAAUGCCCUGCUUCCAGGAAAAGCCUCUAAGCCUCAGGUAACAUCAGAUCGUACCCGAAACCGACACAGGUGGUCAGGUAGAGAAUACCAAGGCGCUUGAGAGAACCCGGGUGAAGGAACUAGGCAAAAUGGUGCCGUAACUUCGGGAGAAGGCACGCUGACACGUAGGUGAAGCGGUUUACCCGUGGAGCUGAAGUCAGUCGAAGAUACCAGCUGGCUGCAACUGUUUAUUAAAAACACAGCACUGUGCAAACACGAAAGUGGACGUAUACGGUGUGACGCCUGCCCGGUGCCGGAAGGUUAAUUGAUGGGGUCAGCGCAAGCGAAGCUCCUGAUCGAAGCCCCGGUAAACGGCGGCCGUAACUAUAACGGUCCUAAGGUAGCGAAAUUCCUUGUCGGGUAAGUUCCGACCUGCACGAAUGGCGUAAUGAUGGCCAGGCUGUCUCCACCCGGGACUCAGUGAAAUUGAACUCGCUGUGAAGAUGCAGUGUACCCGCGGCAAGACGGAAAGACCCCGUGAACCUUUACUAUAGCUUGACACUGAACACUGGUCCUUGAUGUGCAGGAUAGGUGGGAGGCUUUGAAGUGUGGACGCCAGUCUGCAUGGAGCCGUCCUUGAAAUACCACCCUUUAAUGGCUGGUGUUCUAACGUAGACCCGUGAACCGGGUUGCGGACAGUGUCUGGUGGGUAGUUUGACUGGGGCGGUCUCCUCCUAAAGCGUAACGGAGGAGCACGAAGGUUGGCUAAUCCUGGUCGGACAUCAGGAGGUUAGUGCAAUGGCAUAAGCCAGCUUGACUGCGAGCGUGACGGCGCGAGCAGGUGCGAAAGCAGGUCAUAGUGAUCCGGUGGUUCUGAAUGGAAGGGCCAUCGCUCAACGGAUAAAAGGUACUCCGGGGAUAACAGGCUGAUACCGCCCAAGAGUUCAUAUCGACGGCGGUGUUUGGCACCUCGAUGUCGGCUCAUCACAUCCUGGGGCUGAAGUAGGUCCCAAGGGUAUGGCUGUUCGCCAUUUAAAGUGGUACGCGAGCUGGGUUUAGAACGUCGUGAGACAGUUCGGUCCCUAUCUGCCGUGGGCGCUGGAGAACUGAGGGGGGCUGCUCCUAGUACGAGAGGACCGGAGUGGACGCAUCACUGGUGUUCGGGUUGUCAUGCCAAUGGCACUGCCCGGUAGCUAAAUGCGGAAGAGAUAAGUGCUGAAAGCAUCUAAGCACGAAACUUGCCCCGAGAUGAGUUCUCCCUGAGACUACAAGUCUCCUGAAGGAACGUUGAAGACGACGACGUUGAUAGGCCGGGUGUGUAAGCGCAGCGAUGCGUUGAGCUAACCGGUACUAAUGAACCGUGAGGCUUAACCUUACAACGCCGAAG